rnacentral:rRNA from 1 species
UACCUGGUUGAUCCUGCCAGUAAUCAUAUGCUUGUCUCAAAGAUUAAGCCAUGCAUGUCUAAGUACAUGCCGAAAUAAGGCGAAACCGCGAAUGGCUCAUUAAAUCAGUUAUGGUUCCUUAGAUCGUUUCUUCCUACUUGGAUAACUGUGGCAAUUCUAGAGCUAAUACAUGCAGUGAGCCUGAAGCCCUUUGGGCGACGGGUGCUUUUAUUAGACCAAGAUCGAUCGGGUUUCGGCCCGUAUUGUGUGGUGACUCUGGAUAACUUUGUGCUGAUCGCAUGGCCACGAGCCGGCGACGUUUCUUUCAAGUGUCUGCCUUAUCAACUUUCGAUGGUAGGUUACUUGCUUACCAUGGUUGUUACGGGUAACGGAGAAUCAGGGUUCGAUUCCGGAGAGGGAGCCUGAGAAACGGCUACCACAUCCAAGGAAGGCAGCAGGCGCGCAAAUUACCCACUCCCGGCACGGGGAGGUAGUGACGAAAAAUAACAAUACGGGACUCUUUUGAGGCCCCGUAAUUGAAAUGAGUACACUCUAAAUCCUUUAACGAGGAUCAAUUGGAGGGCAAGUCUGGUGCCAGCAGCCGCGGUAAUUCCAGCUCCAAUAGCGUAUACUAAAGCUGCUGCGGUUAAAAAGCUCGUAGUUGGAUCUCAGUUCCAGACGAGUAGUGCAUCUACCCGAUGCGACGGCUCGGACUGAACAUCAUGCCGGUCCUUUCUUGGUGCACUUCAUUGUGUGCCUCGAGAAGGCCGGUGCUUUUACUUUGAAAAAAUUAGAGUGCUCAACGCAGGCGAGUCGCCUGAAUAAACUUUGCAUGGAAUAAUAGAACAAGACCUCGUUUCUGUUCUGUUGGUUUUUGGAAUACGAGGUAAUGAUUAAGAGGGACAGACGGGGGCAUUCGUAUUGCGGCGCUAGAGGUGAAAUUCUUGGACCGUCGCAAGACGAACUACUGCGAAAGCAUUUGCCAAGAAUGUUUUCUUUGAUCAAGAACGAAAGUCAGAGGUUCGAAGGCGAUCAGAUACCGCCCUAGUUCUGACCAUAAACGAUGCCAACCAGCGAUCCGCCUGAGUUACUCAAAUGACUCGGCGGGCAGCUUCCGGGAAACCAAAGUGUUUGGGUUCCGGGGGAAGUAUGGUUGCAAAGCUGAAACUUAAAGGAAUUGACGGAAGGGCACCACCAGGAGUGGAGCCUGCGGCUUAAUUUGACUCAACACGGGAAAACUUACCCGGCCCGGACACUGGGAGGAUUGACAGAUUGAGAGCUCUUUCUUGAUUCGGUGGAUGGUGGUGCAUGGCCGUUCUUAGUUGGUGGAGCGAUUUGUCUGGUUAAUUCCGAUAACGAACGAGACUCUAGCCUAUUAAAUAGGUGCGGGGUUCCCAGCACCUUACAACCUUCUUAGAGGGACAAGCGGCUCCUAGCCGCACGAAACAGAGCAAUAACAGGUCUGUGAUGCCCUUAGAUGUCCGGGGCCGCACGCGCGCUACACUGAAGGAAGCAGCGUGUCUUUAUCCCUGUCUGAAAGGACUGGGUAACCCGUGGAACUUCUUUCGUGAUUGGGAUAGGGGCUUGCAAUUGUUCCCCUUGAACGAGGAAUUCCCAGUAAGCGCGAGUCAUAAGCUCGCGUUGAUUACGUCCCUGCCCUUUGUACACACCGCCCGUCGCUACUACCGAUUGAAUGAUUUAGUGAGGUCUUCGGACCGAUGUCCGGCGCGGCCUUUCGGUUGCGCCGGUCUGUUGGAAAGAUGACCAAACUUGAUCAUUUAGAGGAAGUAAAAGUCGUAACAAGGUUUCCGUAGGUGAACCUGCGGAAGGAUCAUUA